CUUAAAUUAAUUAAUACUAAUAACUCCAUUGGAAAGUAGGUGUAUUCUAUUGUAUAGUUAUUAUGACAUAAAAAGCUGUCCUAAGACAAUGGAGACAGGUACAGCCACUGUUGGAAUUGGGAAGGUAGAAUACAUAAGAUUAUUUUGGUAAUACAUAAUUUAAAGUGCUGUAAUUUUUUUUAUAAUUUUCGUUUAAAUUUAAUUUCAUAACGUUUAUUAAAAAAAAA